GCCGGACCGUGUUGUCAGUCUAUCAUGCAGUCGAGCGAACAGACAAGGAGCUUGCUCCUUUGACGUUAGCGGCGGACGGGUGAGUAACACGUGGGUAACCUACCUAUAAGACUGGGAUAACUUCGGGAAACCGGAGCUAAUACCGGAUAAUAUUUCGAACCGCAUGGUUCGAUAGUGAAAGAUGGUUUUGCUAUCACUUAUAGAUGGACCCGCGCCGUAUUAGCUAGUUGGUAAGGUAACGGCUUACCAAGGCGACGAUACGUAGCCGACCUGAGAGGGUGAUCGGCCACACUGGAACUGAGACACGGUCCAGACUCCUACGGGAGGCAGCAGUAGGGAAUCUUCCGCAAUGGGCGAAAGCCUGACGGAGCAACGCCGCGUGAGUGAUGAAGGUCUUCGGAUCGUAAAACUCUGUUAUUAGGGAAGAACAUACGUGUAAGUAACUAUGCACGUCUUGACGGUACCUAAUCAGAAAGCCACGGCUAACUACGUGCCAGCAGCCGCGGUAAUACGUAGGUGGCAAGCGUUAUCCGGAAUUAUUGGGCGUAAAGCGCGCGUAGGCGGUUUUUUAAGUCUGAUGUGAAAGCCCACGGCUCAACCGUGGAGGGUCAUUGGAAACUGGAAAACUUGAGUGCAGAAGAGGAAAGUGGAAUUCCAUGUGUAGCGGUGAAAUGCGCAGAGAUAUGGAGGAACACCAGUGGCGAAGGCGACUUUCUGGUCUGUAACUGACGCUGAUGUGCGAAAGCGUGGGGAUCAAACAGGAUUAGAUACCCUGGUAGUCCACGCCGUAAACGAUGAGUGCUAAGUGUUAGGGGGUUUCCGCCCCUUAGUGCUGCAGCUAACGCAUUAAGCACUCCGCCUGGGGAGUACGACCGCAAGGUUGAAACUCAAGGAAUUGACGGGGACCCGCACAAGCGGUGAGCAUGGGGUUUAAUUCGAAGCAACGCGAAGACCUUACCAAUCUUGACAUCCUUUGACAACUCUAGAGAUAGAGGCCUUCCCCUUCGGGGGACAAGUGGACAGUGUGCAUGCUGUCGUCAGCUCGUGUCGUGAAAUUGUGGUAGUCCCGCACCGACGCACCCUUAAGCUUAGUGCAUCAUAGUUGGGCACUCUAAGUUGACUGCGUGACAAAACGAGAAAGGUGAUGACUCAUCUCAUUGCCUUAGAUUGGCUACACAGGUUCAAUGCAAUUCAGAUGUCACGGAUCACCCGAG
rnacentral:rRNA from 1 species